UCUCACUGGUUCGUUGAAGAAGAAGAAAGGAAAAUCGAUCCAUUAGAGCAGAGAAGGGAAUGGAAACGAAGAAAAAAAACGAGGCAUUGGAACAUAAAAGGGAAGGGAAAGGAAGAGGAGCUGAAAAUGGAUUAUGUGAAUUGCUAUUGUGGCAAGAGAAGUCGAUUGAAUACAUCAUAGACCGACAACAACCCUAGGAGGAGGUUUCUCGGUCGUUCUAAUUAUGGGAGGUUUGGUGCAUGUGGUUACUUUUUAUGGAUUAAUCCCCUGAUGUGUACCCGUUGUCGCGAUGUCAUACUCGAGUUGCUUCAACGAAACAAAGUGCUGGAAGAUGAAGUACUAGUGUGUAGGGCAAGAGGAAGGUGGGUGAUUGCAUGUCUUGCUUUGUCCCGUUUGCUUUUUUCUUUGGUGGACUCUAGUUGUUAAUGGUAGCAAUGGAAAUGCGGAUGGAAGUGCUAAAAAUGGCAGUAUAUUGUAAAAGUGAAAAUAGAUGUAUAUAUGACAAUGAUUUUGAGGGAAUUGUAAUGGGGAAAUUGGGACAAAUGUAUGGUGGCAAUGAUAAUAGAAGCCUAGAAUGGACUUACCAUAGGUCGUGGAAAAUGUUUUAAUAUGGUUUGUAAUGUUUGUCUGAUAUAUGUAUUGUUCAACGUGGUCUGUAAUGUAAGUUUGAACCUUUUUUAUGAGAUGGUUUGUAAUGUAAGUUUGAACAUUUUUGA